UCUCUCUCUCCCGCACGAGAUCGCCAUACCCCCGUGCUAGGGUUCCGUCCGCCGCCGCGCCUCACCCUCCGCUCCCAACAACGCUCCCUACUCUCCCGUCCCCUUGCAGUUGUCGUCGUAAUCUCCCGUCGCCGGUCAAUAGCCCUGAAGAAGCCCCGGCCUCCGGCUCCGUGGAGCACGCCGCUCGCCGGCAGCCGCGAUUGAACGCCGGUGGACGCCAUAAUUGUGCGAGACCCUGCCGCGGCAACUCAACUCGCCACCGCUGCACCAGUCAAUUUACCUUGUCGCCACUGCGCCUCCCCAAGCAUCUUCGCAAUGUGCGCAAGGAUACCGCUGACUCUCCGUGGCACCUCUGUCUCCACUUCCCCGUGGCGCUGCUCGCCGGCUCCACAACCAUGUCCUCUCCAAUCCAGUGUGGCUCACGAACUGCUGCAGAGAUGAUGCUUGCCGGAUCCCAUGCAGGCCCUCCUUGCGGACAACCUCCAGCCCACACCAGUUCCCCUGUUCUGGCUGUGCCACCUCCCAUGGCUGAGCAGAGCAAGGAGAUCAAGAGAGAAAAUACUCAAUUGAUUUUACAGGGCAUGGAGAUUGUUUUUGAUCUUUUUGGUUGUUCGCGGAUUCAAGGAUAAUGGCUCCCACACCUUUCCCCAAUGUCUGGGCAAAGCCCAGUCUGUUUCAAAAAAAAAUUGCAGCUUGACCGGGCUGAAGGAAGGAGAUGCUAUGCAAACCGAGAAUGAGCAUGACAAGCAAAGCGACGAAUCAAUUGUGCUGCCGGAUGUUGGCUGGGUGAUUGAUCAAUAUAGAUGGAAGCUUCUUGAGGAAAGCCAAACAAGGGGCUGGGACUUGAUAUUUACAGUUUCGGGUGCAGCAGUGUUGCUAGCAUCUUUUUUCUUGCAUCUAUAUACUGAUGAUGCUUUAUUUGGUGUUGUUUCCCGUGGCACUACAUUAUGGCUUUCUUGACAAUGAUUUUUGCUGAUGUGAUAGUUUAUUUUUAUUUUUUCACUUUCAGUGUAAGGUAAGUGCAAGUAAAACUUCAGUUUCACAUUGGCUAAAUCAGUCAAUGUUGUUUAUGCUCCGGCGGCAGUAGAGGAAUAGAGCUGGCAAGGAAGGGAUCUGUUGGUGGAAUUAACAGGGAAAGUAAUUCAUGAAGUGCCUGGUUGGACCAAGAGCUUGUCCGGUAGUGCUCAUGACAAAUAUCUACAAUGAAGAACGAAAUACUUGGAGAUAGGCUACCAAUUCAGUGUUCAACUCAGGUUUAGACAUUGGGGCACGUGAUGUGUCAAUCAAACAUACUAUAGCCCUCAUAUAACGGAUGAUGCUGUUUGCAAAUUAAGAAUUGAAUGAUGCAAAGAGAUUCAUGAUGUAGAAGAACUUACAAGGAUGCCCCUAUAUAAUCGGCUCCACAUUGGCUUGAAGAGAUGCAAAUGUUUCAACUUCGCCGGAGGUUCUAUGUUGGAAGUUGUGUGUGUGGGUGGUUCAAGAUCCAGAGGUUAGCUAUUCCUUGCAGCUUAUAUCAUGGAACGGGACACCACUGAGGGUUUUCUAAGUCAUUGCCAGAGUCUCAUAAUACCGUAUCCUCUUGGGGUCGUCCUAUACUGGGUCCACACUAUUGUCGCCUAUGUCGUCCCGGUAAAUAUAUAGACAAAGGAGUGUGUGCAGUGGACGAGGAUCAUCCAGCACGCUGCUGGCCAUUUGAUCCUGUGACGUGCUAGCUGGAACCUCCUUGACAAGCUGCUUGCUGGAUGAGAGGGCGACUUAGGACAUGAUCAAGUUUGCCCAUUUCGUUUGGUUGCAAUUUUAUCAUACUAGCAAAUUUGUUUGAGUUGAAACUGAAUGGAAUUCAUGAGAAAACUGCAGGAUGUUGAGUGUGAGGCGACCGAAGAGACCAAAUUGUUGAGGCGACACGGGUCAAAGCGGAGGAGCAGGGCAGCUCAAGUUCAUAACCGGUCAGAGAGGAUGAGAUCAGAAUCAGAUGCUACCCGUGUCGUAAUGUUACAAUUGAGCAAGGGGGCUUGUUCUUGGAUUGUUUCUUUCUUUGGUAGGACAAGGUAGUUCUCUAGAUUAUAAGCAUAAUAAUUACUUGCAAGUUGUCAAGAAUUAUUUGUUUUGCAACUAUAAGAUGAUCAGACCGACUCAAGGGUAUAACUUGUAAUAUGACAGUUCUUGAAUUAGUUGUUUCAUGCCAUUUGA